rnacentral:sRNA from 1 species
UGAACUACGAAAGGAUCAUUCCGAUUCAG